UAAGAACUAAGCAACAAGAAAUCAAGCAACUCAGUCAACAAGCAGGCUAGUAAGAUGAAUAGGCAGCUCUCCAAAGAUGAAACAAAUGGCCAGAGACAUAUGAAAAAUGUUCAGUCUUUGGUCCUCAAAGAUGUGCAAAUCAAAAGCCACACAGAGAUCCCAUCAUACCCCAGUCAGAAUGACAGUCACACAAAAGAACACAUGCUGCUGAGCGUGUGGGCAAAGUAAAAGAGGAAUGUCUAAGAAUUUCAGUCAAUGUAAUAAGAACUACGGAAUUAGCACACCAGGCAUCUCCUUCGUGGGAAAGUUCAAGGUGAAGAAGAUCUGAGAGUCACUGUGUGGUUAUAGGAGCUGAAGGUCAUCAUCCAGGUGAAGAGUCUGAGGAUCACUGUCCUGGUUACCCCACGUGUUGGUUAAUAGCCUCUACUUGAAAAGCACAGCAGACACGGGGCACACAUGGUCACUGAGAGCUGGUCAGCUGAUGCUCCAGGGGAAGGUGCACCCACUGGCCUUCUGUAGUGAACAAGAGAGUCUUCGAAGAAAAAGGAAAUGUAUCAGUAGCAGUUUAGCAUUGAUUCUGUGGGGUGGUAAGCUCUUGACUGUAUCGGGUUAAAUAAAAU
rnacentral:lncRNA from 1 species